GGCGCAGUCAUGACGUCACCAGCGCGCCGGCCAAACUUCAGCCGGACGGGAGGGGAAGUUUUUUUUUCUCCUUUUCUUUCUCUGCCCCGAGCGUAGAGGGAACCACAAAACUAUCCGGAAACGGACCAGUCCCUGGGUGGUUUGAAGUGAACUGCAAAACAGUUGCACCUUUAUCAGUUCACUGCAGAGAAAAAUGUUCAGUUUCCAUAUUUGUGCAUGGGAGAGGAGGAGGACCAGAGGAAAAGUGAAGAUCCAUUGGAGGAAAGACCCAAAUGGGGACUGAUCUUUGGAACAAAUGCUGGCUACCAACAACAACGCAGUACUGUUUACACCAAGGAUGUCAAAUUGGAUUUGAAAACAGACCCCAGGGAGUAGAUGAGUGACUGAGAAAACAACAAAUAUGCAAUAUCUAUAUCAUGAUGUAUUCGUACUUGUUUUGUUAAAAAUUUCCCAUUACAUUUUAAUCUACUUCAGCCUGCACUAGGGAGCUUUGCAGGGAAAGCUUGACAUAUUUAAUUUGCAAUACAAUUACAUGGCACAUGUAUAUGAUGGGGUGGGGGUGGGGGGUUUGGCUAUGUAAACCAGAGAGAAAAUAUAUUGGUAAAGCCA